rfam:Triticum aestivum genome assembly, contig: Triticum_aestivum_CS42_TGACv1_scaffold_050934_1BS
AUCAUACUCCCUCCGUCCCAAAAUAAGUGACUCAACUUUGUACUAGCUUUAGUACAAAGUUAAUACAAAGUCGAGUCACUUAUUUUGGGACGGAGGGAGUAUAUG